rnacentral:misc_RNA from 1 species
GGGAGAGGUAAUAACGGUGCUUCCGGUGCUCCGUCAACAUCGGCCGCGACUAGUUCUGCUUACAAGUUGUUCGGCCGGCAAACCUCUUUCCACCAGAUGAUGGGCGGCGGAAAAGCUGCUGACGUUAUAUUGUGGAGGCGGAGGCGUGUCUCUUUUGGCAUCAUUGUUGCUGCUACAGUUGCUUGGAUCAUUUUUGAGUAUUCAGAGUUACCUUUCUUAUCAGUUUCUUCUGAUGUUUUACUGAUUCUGAUAGUUCUGCUCUUUCUCCGUGCAAACUAUGCAGCCUUCAGGAAGAAACAACUCCCAGCAUUACCAGAGUUAGUCUUGUCAGAAGAAAUGGUUAAUAAU